AUGAACGCUGGCGGCGUGCCUAAUACAUGCCAGUCGAGCGAACAGACGAGGAGCUUGCUCCUCUGACGUUAGCGGCGGACGGGUGAGUAACACGUGGAUAACCUACCUAUAAGACUGGGAUAACUUCGGGAAACCGGAGCUAAUACCGGAUAAUAUAUUGAACCGCAUGGUUCAAUAGUGAAAGACGGUUUUGCUGUCACUUAUAGAUGGAUCCGCGCCGCAUUAGCUAGUUGGUAAGGUAACGGCUUACCAAGGCAACGAUGCGUAGCCGACCUGAGAGGGUGAUCGGCCACACUGGAACUGAGACACGGUCCAGACUCCUACGGGAGGCAGCAGUAGGGAAUCUUCCGCAAUGGGCGAAAGCCUGACGGAGCAACGCCGCGUGAGUGGUGAAGGUCUUCGGAUCGUAAAACUCUGUUAUUAGGGAAGAACAAAUGUGUAAGUAACUAUGCACGUCUUGACGGUACCUAAUCAGAAAGCCACGGCUAACUACGUG
rnacentral:rRNA from 1 species